rnacentral:rRNA from 1 species
UAAUACGAAGGGGGCGAGCGUUGUUCGGAUUUACUGGGCGUAAAGGGCGCGCAGGCGGCGCAUUUUGUCAGGCGUGAAAGCCCCGGGCUUAACCUGGGAACUGCGUUUGAUACGGAUGGGCUAGAGUUCGGGAGAGGAGAGUGGAAUUCCCAGUGUAGAGGUGAAAUUCGUAGAUAUUGGGAAGAACACCGGUGGCGAAGGCGGCUCUCUGGACCGAGACUGACGCUGAGGCGCGAAAGCGUGGGGAGCAAACAGGAUUAGAUACCCUGGUAGUCCACGCUGUAAACGAUGUGUGCUAGACGUUGGGGAGCCUAGCUCUUCGGUGUCGCAGCUAACGCGGUAAGCACACCGCCUGGGGAGUACGGCCGCAAGGUUA